rnacentral:rRNA from 1 species
CUGGCAUCGGUUACAUAUUAAAGGUUACGGUAAGAGAUGAGCAUGCGUCUCAUUAGUUAGUUGGUAAGGUAACGGCUUACCAAGACUUCGAUGAGUAGGGGUCCUGAGAGGGAGAUCCCCCACACUGGUACUGAGACACGGACCAGACUCCUACGGGAGGCAGCAGUGAGGAAUAUUGGACAAUGGACGGAAGUCUGAUCCAGCCAUGCCGCGUGUAGGAAGACUGCCCUAUGGGUUGUAAACUACUUUUAUACAGGAAGAAUAAGAUCUACGUGUAGAUUGAUGACGGUACUGUAAGAAUAAGGACCGGCUAACUCCGUGCCAGCAGCCGCGGUAAUACGGAGGGUCCGAGCGUUAUCCGGAAUUAUUGGGUUUAAAGGGUCCGUAGGCGGGCUGUUAAGUCAGAGGUGAAAUGCUGCGGCUCAACCGUAUGCACUGCCUUUGAUACUGGCGGUCUUGAGUUAUAGUGAAGUGGCUAGAAUAAGUAGUGUAGCGGUGAAAUGCAUAGAUAUUACUUAGAAUACCGAUUGCGAAGGCAGGUCACUAACUAUACACUGACGCUGAUGGACGAAAGCGUGGGUAGCGAACAGGAUUAGAUACCCUGGUAGUCCACGCCGUAAACGAUGGAUACUAGCUGUUCGGUUUUCGGACUGAGCGGCCAAGCGAAAGUGAUAAGUAUCCCACCUGGGGAGUACGUUCGCAAGAAUGAAACUCAAAGGAAUUGACGGGGGCCCGCACAAGCGGUGGAGCAUGUGGUUUAAUUCGAUGAUACGCGAGGAACCUUACCAGGGCUUAAAUGUAGAUUGACAGGUUUAGAGAUAGACUUUUCUUCGGACAAUUUACAAGGUGCUGCAUGGUUGUCGUCAGCUCGUGCCGUGAGGUGUCAGGUUAAGUCCUAUAACGAGCGCAACCCCUGUCGUUAGUUGCCAGCAUGUAAUGAUGGGGACUCUAACGAGACUGCCGGUGCAAACCGUGAGGAAGGUGGGGAUGACGUCAAAUCAUCACGGCCCUUACGUCCUGGGCCACACACGUGCUAC